rnacentral:rRNA from 1 species
AGGAAUAUUGGUCAAUGGACGAGAGUCUGAACCAGCCAAGUAGCGUGCAGGAAGACGGCCCUAUGGGUUGUAAACUGCUUUUAUAAGGGAAUAAAGUUAGUCUCGUGAGACUUUUUGCAUGUACCUUAUGAAUAAGGACCGGCUAAUUCCGUGCCAGCAGCCGCGGUAAUACGGAAGGUCCGGGCGUUAUCCGGAUUUAUUGGGUUUAAAGGGAGCGUAGGCCGGAGAUUAAGCGUGUUGUGAAAUGUAGACGCUCAACGUCUGCACUGCAGCGCGAACUGGUUUCCUUGAGUACGCACAAAGUGGGCGGAAUUCGUGGUGUAGCGGUGAAAUGCUUAGAUAUCACGAAGAACUCCGAUUGCGAAGGCAGCUCACUGGAGCGCAACUGACGCUGAAGCUCGAAAGUGCGGGUAUCGAACAGGAUUAGAUACCCUGGUAGUCCGCACGGUAAACGAUGGAUGCCCGCUGUUGGUCUGAAUAGGUCAGCGGCCAAGCGAAAGCAUUAAGCAUCCCACCUGGGGAGUACGCCGGCAACGGUGAAACUCAAAGGAAUUGACGGGGGCCCGCACAAGCGGAGGAACAUGUGGUUUAAUUCGAUGAUACGCGAGGAACCUUACCCGGGCUUGAAUUGCAGAGGAAGGAGUCGGAGACAAUGACGCCCUUCGGGGCCUCUGUGAAGGUGCUGCAUGGUUGUCGUCAGCUCGUGCCGUGAGGUGUCGGCUUAAGUGCCAUAACGAGCGCAACCCCUCUCUUCAGUUGCCAUCAGGUUAAGCUGGGCACUCUGGGGACACUGCCACCGUAAGAUGUGAGGAAGGUGGGGAUGACGUCAAAUCAGCACGGCCCUUACGUCCGGGGCUACACACGUGUUACAAUGGGCGGUACAGAAGGCAGCUACCUGGCGACAGGAGGCCAAUCCCUAAAGCCGCUCUCAGUUCGGACUGGAGUCUGCAACCCGACUCCACGAAGCUGGAUUCGCUAGUAAUCGCGCAUCAGCCAUGGCGCGGUGAAUACGUUCCCG